AGUGAACGCUGGCGGUAGGCCUAACACAUGCAAGUCGAACGGCAGCACAGUAAGAGCUUGCUCUUACGGGUGGCGAGUGGCGGACGGGUGAGGAAUACAUCGGAAUCUACUUUUUCGUGGGGGAUAACGUAGGGAAACUUACGCUAAUACCGCAUACGACCUACGGGUGAAAGCAGGGGAUCUUCGGACCUUGCGCGAUUGAAUGAGCCGAUGUCGGAUUAGCUAGUUGGCGGGGUAAAGGCCCACCAAGGCGACGAUCCGUAGCUGGUCUGAGAGGAUGAUCAGCCACCUUGGAACUGAGACGCGGUCCAGACUCCUACGGGAGGCAGCAGUGGGGAAUAUUGGACAAUGGGCGCAAGCCUGAUCCAGCCAUACCGCGUGGGUGAAGAAGGCCUUCGGGUUGUAAAGCCCUUUUGUUGGGAAAGAAAAGCAGCAGGUUAAUACCCCGCUGUUCUGACGGUAACCAAAGAAUAAGCACCGGCUAACUUCGUG
rnacentral:rRNA from 1 species